CCGCACGAGUGAAACAAUCGCCCUUGAUUCCGCUUGCAGCUCCUAAUUUUCAGGCCGAUUCCAACUGAAUCGUGCCUCCCCGAUCCUUCUUUCUCUCCCCAGAUCGAGGAAAACAGCGCCGCCUCCUCCCUUCCCCCACAAUGACGCAACCCCCAAUCGUCAGCCGAACUGCCCCGUGACAACCUCCCGGGCACUCUCCCCGCCGCCCGCACAAUGCCCUCAUCGGCGCUCUUUUCGUCAGAGCGGCCUGGAGCGGCGUGCACAGGAAGCCGGAGCAGGGAAGGAGUGCGGCCACCGCCGGGAGACAAGGGGAGGCGUGCUCGCGCUCUUUUGGGUCGGCCAUGGAGGCCGCACGCAAGCCCGCGGCGUGGCGGCGCCCGCUCCGCCUCGCCUCUCCGGCCGCAUCCAAAGGACGAAGUGGGCGCAUGUGUGGCUGCUGCCAGCGAAUGAGGCCGCACGCGAGCCCGCGGUGCGGCGGCGCGGAUCCCUCUUCCCCCUGCCGGUUUGAAAUCCGCACCGUCCCCGACAAGGUAACUGCUCUCCUCCGGUUAGGCCCUGGCCUGGGCAUGUGCAGCCGGUGCGAGCAAUCACCGAGCCAUUAGUGAUUCGUUGAUCCCUAUGAUUCACUCCCUAAUUUGCAUUGGUCAGUAAUUCUCCAUAUGCUCCACUUGAGAGAGCAAGAGAAGGUUACUCUACUCCAUUAUGUACUAAUUCCGGCAAUCAAGGUCAAUACAUGUUACAUCAAUCAAGAUCGAGGAAAACAGCGCCGCCUCCUCCCUUCCCCCACAAUGACGCAACCCCCAAUCGUCAGCCGAACUGCCCCGUGACAACCUCCCGGGCACUCUCCCCGCCGCCCGCACAACGCCCUCAUCGGCGCUCUUUUCGCCAGAGCGGCCCGGAGCGGCGUGCACAGGAAGCCGGAGCAGGGAAGGAGUGCGGCCACCGCCGGGAGACAAGGGGAGGCGUGGUCGCGCUCUUUUGGGUCGGCCAUGGAGGCCGCAUGCAAGCCCGCGGCGUGGCGGCGCCCGCUCCGCCUCGCCUCUCCAGCCGCAUCCAAAGGACGAAGUGGGCGCAUGUGUGGCGGCUGCCGGCGAAUGAGGCCGCACGCGAGCCCGCAGCGCGGCGGCGCGGAUCCCUCUUCCCCCUGCCGGUUUGAAAUCCGCACCGUCCCCGACAAGGUAACUGCUCUCCUCCGGUUAGGCCCUGGCCUGGGCAUGUGCAGCCGGUGCGAGCAAUCACCGAGCCAUCAGUGAUUCGUUGAUCCCUAUGAUUCACUCCCUAAUUUGCAUUGGUCAGUAAUUCUCCAUAUGCUCCACUUGAGAGAGCAAGAGAAGGUUACUCUACUCCAUUAUGUACUAAUUCCGGCAAUCAAGGUCAAUACAUGUUACAUCAAUCAGGGUCAGUAAUUGUACUAAUUUCAGAGAAGACCUGUAUAGCAGUACUACUCCAUCGGCAAGCGUUCAGUGCUGGAUUUCUUUCACACCUGUGUAGUGUUGUACCAUGGUCGUUCUCCCUCCUCCAGGUUUGAUUUUUCAAGUUUCAUGCCUUUGUGUUUUAAGAUGUCAUCCCAAAAGUAAUUGUAACAUGAAAAACCAAAGAAAGAGAAGAUUAACACGUGAGUUUAUAAAUUCUCAAUAGAAAGUCAUUGAAGAAAAUUUAGGACAAAUAUAAUGUCUAAUUGGCACUUGAACCGACAAAGGGCCUCACUUUGUUAUCUUGCACAGGGACUCAGCCAAGUCCGGCCUGGCCAUGCCUCCGUCCUCCCGCCUUGCCGGCUGCGUGUGUGUGUGCUGUCUAUGCUUGACGCUGCAUGCUUGUUGGCUUGUCACUGGGUGCUUGUCGCUGCAGGCCUGUUGCAGCAGAUGCUGCUUUGCUGUAUAUAUUUGUAUAAUGCUUGCAUCUUGUAUGCAGCUAUGCUUUAUUUUAUACUGACAUUGUUGUUGCUGCUGUUGACCUGUUGAUGUUGUUGCUUACUGCUGCUGUCCUCCUGAUGUUGUUGCUGUGCUGGCCAAGGAGUGAGUCCAGAGAUACACAACAUUCAAUUAUGAGGGUCUAGGAAAUUAAUGGUCAUUCAGUCAUUGAUGAUAUAAAAAGAGGCAUGAAGGCAAUGAAAGGGGUAGUAUUUUGAUCUCAUGUCAUCUCGCACAUAGAUUAUUUGUUCUUCUUUACUUACCAUUUUAUUAAUUAUUUAUAUAUACCCACCAUACCGCCGUAUUAUUGUUUCUUGAAAUUACCGUAUCCCCAUUUCCUUAUCGCCGUAUCCGUAACGCCGGUGCUUCAUAGCUAUGAAGCACGAGUCUACAAUGAUCUAUUUUCAUGUUCUAUCAAGAAGUUCCAUUUGCAAUUUCCUUCUAUAAGUUUCAUUUAUGACAAUAAUGAUCGAUCCAUGUUCAUAGCUAUGUACGUGUUUCACUGGUAUUACCAUUGUUCAUAGUGUAAGCAUAUUAAAUAGUUAUAUGCUUAUUGCACUACAAAGUGUAAACUGUUUAUUAUGUUCCAUCAUUUGACAGAGCAAUGCUAAAGUUCUAAAGUAUCAAGUGAUUGAAUACACUGAAAAUGAUUACAUAUGCAAGCUUUGCAAAGUAGAGAACCUCUUUUUUAGUCUCCACCAAUUUAUUGUUCUCCUUGUGUUGCUUGGAUAAAAUGAAAUGCAUACUAUACUGCUACUGCUACUGAGACUUGUCACAAUUUCUGUAUCCUGUGUUACAAUGAGACUCACAGUUCAAAAUUCAGGUGGAAGGUAAUCAAUUUUCUAAGGAUAAACUUCAUACUCGAAUCUACGUUGUGUAAUGUGUGACAAAUGUGAAUGUUGGCAGUGUCUGAUUUGUGCCCUUUUAAAUUUCAAAUGGGGUGAUUCCAAAGAAGCAGAUUAAACUUGCCCUAAAUGUUGUGUUUGGGAGAUCGAGCAUGGCUUACGUAUGCCUUUGCCACAAAAUUAUGUUCUUGGGGCUAAAGAUCUGCCAAGGGCCAUGCUUAGCGAUCAUAUAGAAGAACAACUCUUUAAACGGCUCAAUGAAGAGAGACACGAACGGGCUAUUCAUAAUGGGAAAAGUUUUGAUGAGGUUAGUGCUGCCUCAUCAAUUUACAGAAUCUUACGUUUAUGGAUCCUAUGUUUUCUUUUUCUUGUUUAUAUCUUGGUUUCCUUUCCUGAAUAUGAAAUAUGUGGUUUGUGUACUUCUUACAAACAGAGAUGUGUUGCUCCUUCUGCAUACUUUUAUUCCUUUUUUUAGAAUUUGACUGUAUUUAAGUGUUUUUUUGCUAGAUCCUUGUUUCAUGCACGUGCACUUUUUUUGGGGGAAUCGGGAGCUUUUCCGGACUGAAUAAGUAGAGUUAUAGUCAAGCUGAAGGCUGAAAACGAAGCCAUAAUUCAUAUUUAUCCAAGCACACCUUUGCCGCUCAGGCGAAGCAUUUUUUGCACACAGGUGAGCAGCAACAGUAGCUGGUCUGUGCACAAGCCUAAAUUGAAAACUAGAAUAAACUCUACUUAGUUGGUUCACUUCCUUCAGGAUGGGGGCAAUCACUGAUCUGUCUUGAGCAUCACUGGACCAAAAUAUAUGUACCACCUAGCAACAGAUUGAUGGUACAAAUAUAUGUACAUACAUUAGGGUGUAUAGCUGGUUGAUGUAUUUUUUUAAUGAGGGUUUGGUUUACGGGUGUGUGCAGUCUGUAUAAGACUAGGAGUAUUGGAUGGUUUUGAGUCGGCACUCGACAGUAUGUAUUUUGAAUGAAGUUUGUGGUAUGUAUAGGGGUGAUAGAUUGGAUAGGAACUUCUGAUCUAAUUACUAUGGUUGUGGUGAAACCAUGUUUUUCUUGAAUUAUACUCCCUCCGUUCCUAAAUAUAAGUCUUUCUAGGGAUUCCAAGAAGGGACUACAUACGGAGCAAAAUGAGUGAAUUUACACUCUAAAACAUGUCUACAUACAUCCGUAUGUAGUUUAUAGUAGAAUAUCUAAAAAGACUUAUAUUUAGGAACGGAGGGAGUAUAUUUGGAACUGAUCUUAAUUUACUAGAGAAAUCAAUUCCAAAAUCCAAUAAACUUCUAUAAUUUCUAUAAUUUCCAAGAAUAGGAUUAUUGCUGGUUAAUCAAUUGAUUUACAUUAAUAUCUUAAAAGGGGACGACACGCAUGUCCUGAUGCUAAUUUUUUUUUAGAAAGGAAGGGUUUAUGUAAUUUUGGUAGGAUAAAAAAUGUAACCUUAGUAUUACCUAGAGCUAGGAUAUGUGAGUAGAUUAUUUUAAUUUUUGAGCUCAUAUGUGAGAUCAUGUUUGGAAUAUCAUGUUCCUAUAACGGAAUCAGUCGUGAUAGUGAAGUCUGCACCAGAAUGUUGACCACCCUUUUUUGUUUUUUGAGUUAAGGAAUUUACAACAAGUCUCUUGCAAAAAUAACUAUCCUAUCCCUUUCUACAAUCUCUAUAUAUCUUUGUUAGAUAAGGUAAGUAUUGUAUAAUAGUUCGGUUUUCCGUGAUUUUUUUCAUUCCUCUGUGUAAACAGCCUAAUAUGAGUUCACAAUCAAUAACAUGCUCACCAUCGAGAGUAACGAUCAGUCGAUAUGUUCUCCUAAUUCUCUCUCUUAUAAACGUGAAGUCCAAAUGCCUACUGGCUGCUUUCAGGUGACUGGAAUUUUGAGCCUUCAACUUGUCGACAUGUGCCUGAGAAGUAGGUUAGAUGGAGCUAAGGCUGAGAUGGAGGCGGCACUGCCUGCCACAACGUCUCCAAGAUGCUGAGCUAGUACCUGGACGGAGGCGGGGACGACACUACUUGUGGUGGCAUCCCCAAGAUGAAGAUCUAGGACCUGGAUGGAGGCAGGGACGACACAACUUGUCCCAGCGUCGUCAGCGGAGGACAUGCAACAAGUUGCGGGGUUUGGGUGGAGGUGGGUUAGAGGGAUGACCGGUGGCAGCAACGGCAACUCGGGCAGACCAGGGCGGCGAGGCUGUAGUGCGGGCGUUCGUGUGCCAGGAAGAAGGUUACAGUCCGUUGGAUGCAUAAUAUGGGAGGGCGGAGGGAAAACUGACUGAAGAAAAAUCUUUUCGAGCCUGAAAUAGUCGCUCUCAAUUGUAACCAUAGAAGCUUGGCACGUUUUGAAGAACCAGAGUUGCCUGUGUGUUGUAGAGUUUUUUCUUGCAACUUUAAGGCCUUUGUUUGCUCUAUCUUGAAGACCUUUGUUCUACACGUCUUACUAUGGGCUGUGAAGAAAUAGAGUUGUGUGAUCUGA